CCGCCAAUUUCCAAAUUUUCCCACCAGACCCUAUUUUUCAUUUUAUAUUUUAAUAUGUACAUACAACAUAUAUAUAUAUACAUAAUAUUGAAACUACUAAAGCUUAGAGAUCAUGUCAACCAUUGCAACAUGCAAUUCAUUAAUAUAUAUACUGUUACUUUAUACAUAAGGUUACAUUAAUUACAAACAUGAUCACACAUUUUCUGUUUACAUGCAUAAGAGGUUUCACCUCUAAAACCUCUGCUCUAAUAACCGGAGGAUCGAGUUAGCUUUAGCCUACUAAUGUCCCUUAGCGCUCCGCAUUGAGGCUUUGCUAGGGCGCUGGUCCGAUCGUGAUAUUUCCCUUCGCUAGGAAUGACUUCUCUCAGCAUGAAUUUGCAGAGGUCCUCAACUAUGGUAUAUAAAGUGGCUU
rnacentral:lncRNA from 1 species